UCGAGAAACCUCCGCAAUGUGAGAAAUCGCGACGGGGGGAUCCCAAGUGCCAUUCUUAACUGGAUGGCUUUUCAUUAGUGUAAAGAGCUUUUGGAAUAAGGGCUGGGCAAGACCGGUGCCAGCCGCCGCGGUAACACCGGCAGCUCUAGUGGUAGCAGCUUUUAUUGGGCCUAAAGCGGCCGUAGCCGGUUUAAUAAGUCUCUGGUGAAAUCCUGUAGCUUAACUGUGGGAAUUGCUGGAGAUACUAUUAGACUUUAGACCGGGAGAGGUUAGAGGUACUCCCAGGGUAGAGGUGAAAUUCUGUAAUCCUGGGAGGACCGCCUGUUGCGAAGGCGUCUAACUGGAACGGUUCUGACGGUGAGGGACGAAAGUUAGGGGCGCGAACC
rnacentral:rRNA from 1 species